GACGAACGCUGGCGGCGUGCUUAACACAUGCAAGUCGAGCGAUGAAGUUCCCUUCGGGGACCGGAUUAGCGGCGGACGGGUGAGUAACACGUGGGUAACCUGCCUCAAAGAGGGGGAUAGCCUCCCGAAAGGGAGAUUAAUACCGCAUAAUAUCUUUUUAAUGCAUGUUAGAAAGAUUAAAUGAGCAAUCCGCUUUGAGAUGGACCCGCGGCGCAUUAGCUAGUUGGUGAGGUAACGGCUCACCAAGGCGACGAUGCGUAGCCGACCUGAGAGGGUGAUCGGCCACAUUGGGACUGAGACACGGCCCAGACUCCUACGGGAGGCAGCAGUGGGGAAUAUUGCGCAAUGGGGGAAACCCUGACGCAGCAACGCCGCGUGAGUGAUGAAGGUCUUCGGAUCGUAAAGCUCUGUCUUCAGGGACGAUAAUGACGGUACCUGAGGAGGAAGCCACGGCUAACUACGUG
rnacentral:rRNA from 1 species